rnacentral:rRNA from 1 species
UGCGGCUGCUAUAAUGCAGUCGAGCGGACAGAUGGGAGCUUGCUCCCUGAUGUUAGCGGCGGACGGGUGAGUAACACGUGGGUAACCUGCCUGUAAGACUGGGAUAACUCCGGGAAACCGGGGCUAAUACCGGAUGGUUGUCUGAACCGCAUGGUUCAGACAUAAAAGGUGGCUUCGGCUACCACUUACAGAUGGACCCGCGGCGCAUUAGCUAGUUGGUGAGGUAACGGCUCACCAAGGCGACGAUGCGUAGCCGACCUGAGAGGGUGAUCGGCCACACUGGGACUGAGACACGGCCCAGACUCCUACGGGAGGCAGCAGUAGGGAAUCUUCCGCAAUGGACGAAAGUCUGACGGAGCAACGCCGCGUGAGUGAUGAAGGUUUUCGGAUCGUAAAGCUCUGUUGUUAGGGAAGAACAAGUGCCGUUCAAAUAGGGCGGCACCUUGACGGUACCUAACCAGAAAGCCACGGCUAACUACGUGCCAGCAGCCGCGGUAAUACGUAGGUGGCAAGCGUUGUCCGGAAUUAUUGGGCGUAAAGGGCUCGCAGGCGGUUUCUUAAGUCUGAUGUGAAAGCCCCCGGCUCAACCGGGGAGGGUCAUUGGAAACUGGGGAACUUGAGUGCAGAAGAGGAGAGUGGAAUUCCACGUGUAGCGGUGAAAUGCGUAGAGAUGUGGAGGAACACCAGUGGCGAAGGCGACUCUCUGGUCUGUAACUGACGCUGAGGAGCGAAAGCGUGGGGAGCGAACAGGAUUAGAUACCCUGGUAGUCCACGCCGUAAACGAUGAGUGCUAAGUGUUAGGGGGUUUCCGCCCCUUAGUGCUGCAGCUAACGCAUUAAGCACUCCGCCUGGGGAGUACGGUCGCAAGACUGAAACUCAAAGGAAUUGACGGGGGCCCGCACAAGCGGUGGAGCAUGUGGUUUAAUUCGAAGCAACGCGAAGAACCUUACCAGGUCUUGACAUCCUCUGACAAUCCUAGAGAUAGGACGUCCCCUUCGGGGGCAGAGUGACAGGUGGUGCAUGGUUGUCGUCAGCUCGUGUCGUGAGAUGUUGGGUUAAGUCCCGCA